UUUUCAGGACUAAAACUGGAGGGAUACAAAGAAGAUAAAGAGAUAUGGAGAAGUUUAACAUGGCCCCUGUGCAAAGAUGACAUGCAAAUUUUUGAAGUGUUUCAUAUUCUU